rnacentral:rRNA from 1 species
CGCGGUGAAUACGUUCCCGGGCCUUGUACACACCGCCCGUCAAGCCAUGGAAGCUGGGUGUACCUAAAGUCGGUAACCGCAAGGAGCCGCCUAGGGUAAACUAGUAACUGGGCU